GGAGGAAAAGGAAUAGCAGAGCCAGCUGGGGGUUCUGGAAUGGCUUCCCUAAGGAACUGACACUGGCACUGAGAUGAUAAGCAGUUACCCAGGCAAAGACAUCCCAGUGGGAAAUGUGCCCAGCAGUGGGAUUGGUAUGUGCCAUGGGCGAACGUGGUGCUAAAGACACUGUGCAGAGGGACAUACUCACGUUUUGGGAAGACAACACUGGCUGCUCUAUGGGAACAGACCACGGAAGAAAUAGAGAGUAGCAGCGGGAGACAAUUCAGCAGCUGCUACAGCCUCCCAGAAUGUGAGGAAACAGGCUCCAGGUUCAUCACAUGGUGGUCCCAAGGCCGACUUGUGCAAGCCAGGAUGACAGGAGGACGGCGUGGGAGCACUGCUCAAUCCCGUAGCCCUUCCCUGUGGCUGAAGAUGAUCCACCUUCGCCCUGUCUCCUGAGGUCUCCGUGUUUCUGCCCUUCACGGCCCAAAUAAAGCAGCUUUUGCCUCUCUCUGGCCCUCUCCACUUUGCAGGGUGAUGAUCUCAGUUCCUUCCAUUCGCAUACACUGUUAGACUGAACCCAAAGGCUGGGAGGGCAUCUGCUGCCACCCCUGACCCUUCCACUGCCCCCAUCUCCCCCGUGAACCCCCCAGUGGGAUAGCCUAGAUGACCCAGACCUGGCUCCUGCUCUCUAGACUCUCGCUGUGCCAUAGAAAGAGAAAGGCAGAGACAUACACUAGCUCAGUAAAGUGCCACAGGAGAGUGAUAUUGUUUGGGGCACAGUGAGUCCUCUGGUGAGUGAGGAAAGCCUUCAGGAAGGGUCUUGAGCUGAAUCUGGACAAGUGGGCAGGCACUGGGUAGGCAUAAGUAGCGCUCCAGGCAGAUUUGGCAGCACAGAGAAAGGUUUGGUCAUUUGCAGGCUGAACUCCUCAUCCCACUGAGGGAACUGUGAGACUGGCGGCCAAAUGGGCU
rnacentral:lncRNA from 1 species